rnacentral:lncRNA from 13 species
CCCAUUCACCAUUCCUAACUGAAGGCUGUUAUAUUGGUGCUAAAUGUAAAAUCUCUUACCAGUGCGUGCUCUGCAUAUCUGAAAAUCAUGCAGUGGUGAACCUCUUGAGUGUAUUUCUUUCUUUCUUUAUUAGUGAAAAGGUUUUUAUUUGUGCCCUCUGUUAUUCCCAGAAGUACAACACAAAACAAAACGGGAAACCAUGAUUUAUCUUCUAUUUGAUAAAAACAUCUGCAGAAUAAAAUGAGCCUCUUGAUGCCGGAAUUGUCAUCAGUGAUGACUUUGACAAAAUGAGCAAUACAUAAUUUACUAGCUCCCUAGCGAAGCUGAAACAGAUUGUCAAAUAAAACACUGGAGGAGAUGCAUAUGGGCUGAGUAGACCGGCUUUGAAUAGGAACAUGCGCAGGUGGUGGCUUAGUAGUGGCUCUAAGAAGGAGGACUGCCCUAAUUUGGAGGGUCAUUUGCAUUUGAAAAUGCUCCUUGCUAAAUUGCAUAAGCGAGCACCCUCACCACUUCUACCACAUAGUGAGAAGAUAUCAUCUAUCACCCAGAAAAUCAGUCCUCACCAAACACCAAAUCUACUGGUGCCUUGAUCUUGAACUUUCUUGCUUCCAGAACUGCAACUGGAAGCCUUUCAGCAAAACAGUCCUGGAAGGAAAAAAAUAUUAUCUUUCAGGACAGAUAUUUAUAUUGUGGUGGAAAAUCCUGCUAAUCUAUAUAUAAGUGAUUUGAAAACAAAAUGGCAAAGAAAAGAACAACACUGCUACUUGAAGUUUGUUUCAUUGUUAAAAAGGUAUCCUGUUUGUUUGUAUUAAUUAUGAGAGUACUUCCACCUACAAAUAAAAUAUGACAUGUUAAAUGCCA